rnacentral:rRNA from 1 species
GUGGGGAAUCUUGCGCAAUGGGCGAAAGCCUGACGCAGCGACGCCGCGUGAGUGAUGAAGGCCCUCGGGUUGUAAAGCUCUGUGGAGGGGGACGAAUAAGUCGUGGCCAACAUCCACGAUGAUGACGGUACCCCUUUAGCAAGCACCGGCUAACUCUGUGCCAGCAGCCGCGGUAAGACAGAGGGUGCAAACGUUGUUCGGAAUUACUGGGCGUAAAGCGCGUGUAGGCUGCCCCGAAAGUCAGGUGUGAAAGCCCUGGGCUCAACCCAGGAAGUGCACUUGAAACUUCGGUGGCUUGAGUUCUGGAGAGGAUGGCGGAAUUCUCGGUGUAGAGGUGAAAUUCGUAGAUAUCGAGAGGAACACCGGUGGCGAAGGCGGCUAUCUGGACAGUGACUGACGCUGAGACGCGAAAGCGUGGGGAGCAAACAGGAUUAGAAACCCCAGUAGUCC